rnacentral:sRNA from 1 species
AGGGCGAUGAAUCCGCAGCGUGCUCGACUUACGGGCGCGAUGCUUACUAUCAAGCCUUAAAAACACACAUGCACCGGCACAUGGUCCCGGGUGCCGCUGGCAGCGUCUAACGUGGUCAACGGUCGGAUCCAUGGGGUGCGUGGAGGCCUAACC